rnacentral:lncRNA from 1 species
UUUAUUUUUGACCUACAUAACCCUGUUUUCCUUUGUUGCUACCGCCAACUCUAAGAUUUUACCACAGUCUCAGCAGCCAUGGGUUGAUGUGGAGUCAGAAGAACUGCGUAUUUCUCAUUUCAGAACUGGUAAGAAUUCUGGGUAUGUCAAAAUCCUCAGUGAGAAGAGCAACGUAAGCCCAGAAGUGAAGCUGGUCCAGAGACCACACUCGAGGCGUUUAUUCAGAUGACUGAAUUUUAGGACACUGAGCCAAGGACCAAAUAGUGUCUCAACACUGAGCGUGGAGUAAGGCAGAGGGGUCCACAGAAGAUGACUCGAGUGGACAGGUUUUCAUAUAAGCCACAGCGACGACAGCUGAUCCCUCCAGGGCUAGCCAGGCCCACCCUCCAAGGUGGACGCAGCCGACGUGUGGACAGUCACGGUGUUGAGGCUGUUAGUGGCCUUCUUCAGAAAGCAUGUGCUGUAGACUGGAGCUCACAUUUAAGAAUCAUGGCUGAAAUGCCACGGCCGCUUCCCUUCAUGACAACGUUGGUCCACCAGACUUGAAUAAUUAGAUCUCAACAACAAGGAUUGGAUUUAGUCUGUGAAAUAUAAAGUCAUCUCUGACUCGCCGGUCACAGCAUGGGUUCUUUUAGUUUCUUUGGUUUUGAGAGUUCUGAUCACACGAGAACGUAUUGGGGUCA